rnacentral:rRNA from 1 species
AAUUGGCUGUUUAGUGGCGGACGGGUGAGUAACGCGUGAGUAACCUGCCUUGGAGUGGGGAAUAACACAGUGAAAACUGUGCUAAUACCGCAUGACAUAUUGGUGUCGCAUGGCACUGAUAUCAAAGAUUUAUCGCUCUGAGAUGGACUCGCGUCUGAUUAGAUAGUUGGCGGGGUAACGGCCCACCAAGUCGACGAUCAGUAGCCGGACUGAGAGGUUGGCCGGCCACAUUGGGACUGAGACACGGCCCAGACUCC